GAUGAACGCUGGCGGCGUGCCUAAUACAUGCAAGUCGAGCGAACAGACGAGGAGCUUGCUCCUCUGACGUUAGCGGCUGACGUGUGAGUAACACGUGGAUAACCUACCUAUAAGACUGGGAUAACUUCGGGAAACCGGAGCUAAUACCGGAUAAUAUAUUGAACCGCAUGGUUCAAUAGUGAAAGACGGUUUUGCUUUCACUUAUAGAUGGAUCCGCGCCGCAUUAGCUAGUUGGUAAGGUAACGGCUUACCAAGGCAACGAUGCGUAGCCGACCUGAGGGGGUGAUCGGCCACACUGGAACUGAGACACGGUCCAGACUCCUACGGGAGGCAGCAGUAGGGAAUCUUCCGCAAUGGGCGAAAGCAUGACGGAGCAACGCCGCGUGAGUGAUGAAGGUCUUCGGAUCGUAAAACUCUGUUAUUAGGGAAGAACAAAUGUGUAAGUAACUAUGCACGUCUUGACGGUACCUAAUCAGAAAGCCACGGCUAACUACGUG
rnacentral:rRNA from 1 species